AUACUCUGGUUUCUCUAUAAAGUGAUUUAGUCUUUUGACUUUUAAGGAAAGAUUUUUGUGGAGAGGAGCAACCAUGAGUUUUGGUGAUUUUUUUUUUAUGCCUGGCUAAUGCCAGGCU